ACCCGAGCUUGCUCUGGGGGAUUAGUGGCGAACGGGUGAGUAACACGUGAGUAACCUGCCCUUGACUCUGGGAUAACCUCCGGAAACGGAAGCUAAUACCGGAUAUGACGUACGGAGGCAUCUCCUGUGCGUGGAAAGAAUUUCGGUCAAGGAUGGACUCGCGGCCUAUCAGGUAGUUGGUGAGGUAACGGCUCACCAAGCCUACGACGGGUAGCCGGCCUGAGAGGGUGACCGGCCACACUGGGACUGAGACACGGCCCAGACUCCUACGGGAGGCAGCAGUGGGGAAUAUUGCACAAUGGGCGCAAGCCUGAUGCAGCAACGCCGCGUGAGGGACGACGGCCUUCGGGUUGUAAACCUCUUUUAGUAGGGAAGAAGCGAAAGUGACGGUACCUGCAGAAAAAGCACCGGCUAACUACGUGCCAGCAGCCGCGGUAAUACGUAGGGUGCAAGCGUUGUCCGGAAUUAUUGGGCGUAAAGAGCUCGUAGGCGGUUUGUCG
rnacentral:rRNA from 1 species